rnacentral:rRNA from 1 species
UUGUACAGGUGCUGCAUGGCUGUCGUCAGCUCGUGUCGUGAGAUGUCGGUUAAGUCCGCUAACGAGCGCAACCCUCGCUGUGUGUUACAAGUGUCACACGGAACUGCCGGUCAUAAACCGGAGGAAGGUGGGGAUGACGUCAAGUCAGCAUGGCCUUUAUAUCCUGGGCUACACACACGCUACAAUGGGAAGGGACAAUAGGUUGCGAAGCCGCGAGGCGGAGCCAAUCCAGCAAAACUUCCCUCAGUUCAGAUUGCAGGCUGCAACCCGCCUGCAUGAAGUUGGAGUUGCUAGUAAACGCAGGUCAGCCAUACUGCGUUGAAUACGUUCCCGGGGCUU